rnacentral:rRNA from 1 species
CCCUUAGAUGUUCUGGGCCACACGCGCGCUACACUGAUGCAUUCAACGAGCCUAUCCUUGACCGACAGGUCCGGGUAAUCUUUGAAUUUGCAUCGUGACGGGGAUAGAUUAUUGCAAUUAUUAAUCUUCAACGAGGAAUGCCUAGUAGGCGCAAGUCAUCAGCUUGCGUCGAUUACGUCCCUGCCCUUUGUGCACACCGCCCGUCGCUCCUACCGAUUGGGUGUGCUGGUGAAAUGUUCGGAUCGGCCGUUUGUCGCGGUUUCCGCGGCUCGUGGCUGAGAAGUUCAUUAAACCCUCCCACCUAGAGGAAGGAGAAGUCGUAACA